rnacentral:rRNA from 1 species
UGACGCAGGGGGGAGCCUUGGGAAGCGUUGUCUUUUCUUUUUAACCGUCUCUUACCCUGAAAUCAGAUUGCCUGGAGAUAGGGUUAAUUGGCGGGUAAAGCACCUUGUCUUCCGAGGUGUCCGGUGCGCUCUCAACUGUCCUUGAAAAACCGAAGGAAAGGCUUAUUCUCACCCCUGGUCGUACCCAUAACCGCAUCAGGUCUCCAAGG